rnacentral:rRNA from 1 species
AUGAACGCUGGCGGCGUGCCUAAUACAUGCAAGUCGAGCGAACAGACGAGGAGCUUGCUCCUCUGACGUUAGCGGCGGACGGGUGAGUAACACGUGGAUAACCUACCUAUAAGACUGGGAUAACUUCGGGAAACCGGAGCUAAUACCGGAUAAUAUUUUGAACCGCAUGGUUCAAUAGUGAAAGACGGUUUUGCUGUCACUUAUAGAUGGAUCCGCGCCGCAUUAGCUAGUUGGUAAGGUAACGGCUUACCAAGGCAACGAUGCGUAGCCGACCUGAGAGGGUGAUCGGCCACACUGGAACUGAGACACGGUCCAGACUCCUACGGGAGGCAGCAGUAGGGAAUCUUCCGCAAUGGGCGAAAGCUUGACGGAGCAACGCCGCGUGAGUGAUGAAGGUCUUCGGAUCGUAAAACUCUGUUAUUAGGGAAGAACAAAUGUGUAAGUAACUAUGCACGUCUUGACGGUACCUAAUCAGAAAGCCACGGCUAACUACGUG